rnacentral:lncRNA from 1 species
CUGAAAUGAUGUUGCAUUAAAAUUAUCCUUCAUCAAUUUGUUUUACACCACUUAUUUUUAAUUGAUGCCAGCAAGUUCUGAGCUGCUCAUGGGUAAAUUUGUUUUGCUGAUUUAUAUAUUCAGAGAAUGAUACAGAGUAUUUGGAGAGCAUUUGUAAGUCCAGAAUCUAAAGUUGAGAAGUGGUCAGAAUCUGAAGUGGAGACGAGGAAAGAAACACCUGUUUCUAUCCCAGGCCCAGCAAGAAGUGAAGGUCAAACCAGGAUGUGCUAACAUCUCUUCAGGGCUUGAGAUGAAACAGGGACCAG